UCCGGUUUGUCACCGGCAGUCCCAUUAGAGUGCCCAACUGAAUGUGGCAACUAAUGGCAAGGGUUGCGCUCGUUGCGGGACUUAACCCAACAUCUCACGACACGAGCUGACGACAGCCAUGCAGCACCUGUGUCCAGGUUCCCUUUCGGGCACCCCUCCAUCUCUGGAGGGUUCCUGGCAUGUCAAGGGUAGGUAAGGUGGGGAUGACGUUCGUCUGAC
rnacentral:misc_RNA from 1 species